GACGAACGCUGGCGGCGUGCUUAACACAUGCAAGUCGAGCGGUAAGGCCCUUUCGGGGGUACACGAGCGGCGAACGGGUGAGUAACACGUGGGUGACCUGCCCUUAGCUCUGGGAUAAGCCUGGGGAAACUGGGUCUAAUACCGGAUAUGAACUCCAUAACGCAAUGUUGUGGGGUGAAAGCCUUGUGCGGCUAGGGAUGGGCCCGCGGCCUAUCAGCUUGUUGGUGGGGU
rnacentral:rRNA from 1 species